rnacentral:rRNA from 1 species
UACGUAGGGUGCAAGCGUUGUCCGGAAUUAUUGGGCGUAAAGCGCUCGCAGGUGGUUCGUCGCGUCGUGCGUGAAAGACCCUGGCUCAACUGGGGGAUGUCGUGCGAUACGGGCGAACUGGAGGCCAGUAGGGGGAUGCGGAAUUCCGGGUGUAGUGGUGGAAUGCGUAGAGAUCCGGAGGAACACCAGCGGCGAAGGCGGCAUCCUGGACUGGUCCUGACACUCAGGAGCGAAAGCGUGGGGAGCGAUCCGG